AGCAUAUCAAUAAGCGGAGGAAAAGAAACUAACAAGGAUUCCCCUAGUAACGGCGAGUGAAGCGGGAUGAGCUCAAAUUUGUAAUCUGGCGGCCUCUGGUCGUCCGAGUUGUAGUCUGGAGAAGCGUUUUCCGCGUCGGACCGUGUACAAGUCCCUUGGAACAGGGCGUCGUAGAGGGUGAGAAUCCCGUCUUUGACACGGACUGCCGAUGCUUUGUGAUGCGCUCUCGAAGAGUCGAGUUGUUUGGGAAUGCAGCUCAAAACGGGUGGUAAAUUCCAUCUAAAGCUAAAUAUGGGCGAAAGACCGAUAGCGAACAAGUACCGUGAGGGAAAGAUGAAAAGCACUUUGGAAAGAGAGUUAAACAGUACGUGAAAUUGUUGAAAGGGAAACGCUUGAAGUCAGUCGCGUCUCCUGGGACUCAGCCUUGCUUCUGCUUGGUGUACUUCCUGGGACGACGGGCCAGCAUCGAUUUUGAUCGUCGGAGAAAGGCCUUGGGAACGUGGCACCUUUGGGUGUGUUAUAGCCCUUGGUCGUAUGCGACGGUUGGGAUUGAGGACCGCAGCACGCCUUUUUGGCCGGGGUUCGCCCACGUACGUGCUUAGGAUGCUGGCGUAAUGGCUUUAAGCGACCCGUCUUGAAACACGGACCAAGGAGUCUAACAUGCCUGCGAGUGUUUGGGUGGUAAACCCGGACGCGAAAUGAAAGUGAAAAGUUGGGACCUCUGUCGUGGAGGGCACCGACGCCCGGACCAGACCUUCUGUGACGGUUCCGAGGUAGAGCAUGCAUGCUGGGACCCGAAAGAUGGUGAACUAUGCUUGAGUAGGGUGAAGCCAGAGGAAACUCUGGUGGAGGCUCGUAGCGAUUCUGACGUGCAAAUCGAUCGUCGAACUUGAGUAUAGGGGCGAAAGACUAAUCGAACCAUCUAGUAGCUGGUUCCUGCCGA
rnacentral:rRNA from 1 species